UUUAUGAUUAGCUAUAUUAAAUAUUCAUUCUUGGUAAAAACUAUCAAUUAUGUACCCUCGGAUGACUUCAUUUACUUUCUUUACAUGAGGGAGCAGGUGCUGCUAACAUAACUUGGGACUCUAGAGCUUCUCCAGAAGACAUGGAAGAGAUGUCGAAUCAUCCUAUUGUUAGUAAAGAGUGGAGCAAAUCUAGGGAGAAACAGGGAAAAGUGCGAUUUUCUCACGAUGCCGAGAAUAGACCUUAUCUUUCUCGGGUAGAGUUAAGGGCAAUUGCAUAAAUUAUACUGUCAAAACACUUUAUUUCAAGAGUAAAACCAACGGUUUUGUGUGCUCUUGCUGAGAUUGUUAGCAUGCGUUUCGUGAAUGGGGUUGGACCUCGUCCAGGAAUAAUGGGAAUUGACUACCCCACAGCUUGCUGGCUUUACAAGUAUGUGAAUUCCAGG